AGGCGCUUGUCGCUUGUUUACGCGAGGUCCCCGCGCUCUACUUCAAGGAGGACUUCCGCCUCGAGGACGGAGCCACGUUCCGCGCUGCCUGCCCCUUCGCCAACGUCGCCGAGAACCUCGCGCUGCAGGAGAAGCUCUCGCACUACCUCGAUGUUGUUGAGCUCCAUCUCGUGAAGGAGAUCUCGCUUCGCUCGUCCUCGUUCUUCGAGGCGCAGGGGCAGCUGCAGGACCUCGAUGCUAAGAUCCUCCACGGUUGCACGCAAAUUCGCCAUCUCAAGGAUACUAUUCGCCUACUCGACGCCGAUUUGGUCCAGGACGCGCGCCAGAUUCAGGAGCUCAAUGGCACCCGGACCAACCUCUUGGCGCUCCUACAGAAACU
rnacentral:lncRNA from 1 species